CCUACGGGUGGCAGCAGUGGGGAAUAUUGCACAAUGGGGGAAACCCUGAUGCAGCGACGCCGCGUGAGGGAAGAAGUAAUUCGUUAUGUAAAGCCCUAUCAGCAGGGAAGAAAAUGACGGUAGCUGAGUAAUAAGCCACGGCUCACUACGUGCCAGCAGCCGCGGUAAUACGUAGGGGGCAAGCGUUAUCCGGAUUUACUGGGUGUAAAGGGAGCGUAGGCGGCAGUGCAAGGCUGGAGUGAAAUGCGGGGGCUCAACCCCCGGACUGCUCUGGAAACUGUACGUCUGGAGUGCGGGAGAGGUAAGUGGAAUUCCUAGUGUAGCGGUGAAAUGCGUAGAUAUUAGGAGGAACACCAGUGGCGAAGGCGGCCUGCUGGUCUUUUACUGACGCUGAGGCUCGAAAGUGUGGGGAGCAAACAGGAUUAGAUACCCCUGUAGUC
rnacentral:rRNA from 1 species